AUAGGUAAAAGGGAAUGGCAGAUAUUCAAGCUUAGGGAGCAAGCAGCAAGGACAGAGCCUUCCCCGUCUCUGUGUGUUGAAGUCAGCAGAUAGCACACCUGCUGCUGCGUGAGUUCCUUCUGCCAAGCAGAGCAGCACAGCUGCAAGACACCCUGCUUCUGGCUCUGAGCUUUGCUUGUCUUCAGGGAUGGAGCCCCUCCCAAGGCAAGUUCAACUGGGUUCUUUGGCAGCCGAAGUCUACACGGACCCUGCAGGGAGCGGUGGAGAAAAGUUAGAUGUCUGAAGUGUUUUUCAUUGGACCAAAAUCAAGGUGUUGGCUGGGCUACCUUCCCUUCUGGAGACUCUAAGGAAGAAUCCAUUUCCUUGUCUUUUCCAGAUCCUAGAGGCUACCUGCAUUCCUUGGCUUUUAUCCCCAAUCUUCCAUCUUCGGAGCCAGCAACAAUAUAUUGAUCAUGAGGAGAGGGCUCACCCCUCACCCGGAGAAGUAGUUGGGGAAGCAAUAUGCGGAAACAAAGCCAUGAAUCUGACAAGAAAUGUACUUAAGAUUGUAUAUAUGGAGAUGAAUACCCAUUGUCCUUUGCACUUUCUGGAUGAUAAAUUAGAAAAGAAAAAUCCAAAGAAUGAAGUUGUGCUAUUUGUCCUCACUUCUGAUUUGGGAAACUAGAGGAAAUUAAGAUGGGAAAAGACCAUGUGAGGACACAGUGAGAAGGAGACCAUAUGCAAAGCAGGAAGGAAGAUCUCACUGGAACCAAAAACCAGCCCUGCUGGCACCCUGAUCUUGGACUUCUAGCCUUUCUCAGAACUGUGAGAAAAUAAAUUUCUGAUGUUUCAGCCACUCA
rnacentral:lncRNA from 1 species